GACGAACCGUGCAAACGUUGUUCGGAUUCACUGGGCUUAAAGGGCGCGUAGGCGGGCCAUCAAGUCAGGGGUGAAAUCUUUCGGCUCAACCGGAAAAGUGCCUUUGAUACUGGUGGUCUCGAGGGAGGUAGGGGCAUGCGGAACUUCCGGUGGAGCGGUGAAAUGCGUAGAUAUCGGAAGGAACGCCGGUGGCGAAAGCGGCGUGCUGGACCUCUUCUGACGCUGAGGCGCGAAAGCUAGGGGAGCAAACAGG
rnacentral:rRNA from 1 species